CUGACAAGACUGUUUUCUAUUUCAGCAUUGUUUCCUUUAACCUCUAUAAUCGUAACCAUGUGUUUUGUAUUGUAACCAGUGUAACAGCGUAGACUUGUAUCAAUAUAGGAUCUUGGUGUGACACUAGUGGUGGAUUUGUGGUGCAUGUGUGGGUGUGGCUUUGCAGGGUGUGUUUGUGGAGUGAUUUCAUGGUGAUGGGCUGAUCUGAAACAGGUGUGCUGGAUGUGACUUUCAGCCAGCUUAACUACCCCCACCCAGGUUCAGUCUCCCUUUGUUCUCCUCUGUGGCAGUGGCAGAAGGUUAGUGUGGCGCGGGCUGAGGUAUCCUUGGGACGGCAGGUCGGACUGGAAGGCAGCAAGAGCUGAGUCGCAGCAGGUGUCAGUGCACAGUACGAGGCACCAGCAGCAGAGUGUAGCACACUGAGCCAGCACACCAGCCGACUAGCCAGAUCCAGCCUGGUGGCCCUGAAGCCCAGCCACUCACCAGACCACACACCUUCAGCCAUCUUUCCUCCAGUCUUUUAGAGUGACUGUUCCUGGACACUUUACACCAUGACAACCAACAAAGGUCCGGUCACUGUGGCAACAGGCUGAGCAGAGUAUUUCAGACAUCACUCUCCCUAGCAACGUUUUCCAGCUCAUCCUGGGGGAUUCCAAGACGUUCCCAGGCCAGAUGAGAUAUACUGUAUAAUCCCUCCACAUGUGAAAUGUAAAAUUUUACACGUGAAAUGGCAGAAAACCACAUGUGCCUUAUGUGUUUUUUUUUUAAUUACAUGUAAAAUGUGUUUCACAUGCAGUAUAUAUAUAUGUGCAUAAAUAGUUCAUGUGAAAUCAUGUCAUGUGAUCUCCUAGAUGUACCUAAAUGACAACUUGUCACAUGUGAAUUAUAUGUGUUGCUGUCUGUUUUCCACCGAAAUAUGUGAAAAAUAUAUGUGCCUUUAUCAUCUCAAUUUAUCAUGGGAAAAUAAAAACACAUUUACAUAUGAAAUAGUUUUUAACAUGUGAUAGAAUCAGAAUGUGUUUCACAUGUGAUGUUAUUUAUUAAGUUGUUGUUUUCACAUGUAAUUUCUGCCAUUUUAUAUGCCAUAUCAUCAUGUAAUUUCACAUGUGGAUUGUUCAAAAACCAUAUGUUCGGAUAUUAGUUUCAUAUUUGGAACGUACAGAAUGUGCUUCACAUGUGAUAUUACAUGUGAAGUGCUUUGCACAUUUUAUUUCUUAAAGGUGUAAUAUCUGUGAGAAUGAUCUCACACAUGUCCUCGUGAAGCUAAUUUAUCACAUGUGAAAUGUCCAAAACGUACAUGUGCUUGUACAGUAUGUUCACCUGUACAGAUGUAAAACAGUGUUUUCACAUGUGAAAUGUAGUUGUCAUUCUAUAUUGCAUGUAAAAUUACUGUAAUGCAAUUUAUUACAUUUCAUGUGCUUUUCACUAGUUACAGUUUUAGUACGACAUUGAUUGUCUGAAACUGGAACUGACUUAGCAUGUGUUGUUUUGUUUAUUUAUUGUAAAGAACUUUUGUAUUCAUGAUUUUAAAAUUAAAGAGGAUUUAAGAAAUA